CCUACGGGAGGCAGCAGUGAGGAAUAUUGGACAAUGGGCGCAAGCCUGAUCCAGCCAUGCCGCGUGCAGGAAGACGGUCCUAUGGAUUGUAAACUGCUUUUGUACAGGAAGAAACACUCCCUCGUGAGGGAGCUUGACGGUACUGUAAGAAUAAGGAUCGGCUGACUCCGUGCCAGCAGCCGCGGUAAUACGGAGGAUCCAAGCGCUAUCCGGAAUCAUUGGGUUUAAAGGGUCCGUAGGCGGUUUAAUAAGUCAGUGGUGAAAUCUGGUCGCUCAACGAUCAAACGGCCAUUGAUACUGUUAGACUUGAAUUAUUAGGAAGUAACUAGAAUAUGUAGUGUAGCGGUGAAAUGCUUAGAUAUUACAUGGAAUACCAAUUGCGAAGGCAGGUUACUACUAAUGGAUUGACGCUGAUGGACGAAAGCGUGGGGAGCGAACAGGAUUAGAUACCCUGGUAGUCCACGCCGUAAACGAUGGAUACUAGCUGUUCGGAGCAAUCUGAGUGGCUAAGCGAAAGUGAUAAGUAUCCACCGUGGGGAAGUACGUUCGCAAGAAUUGAAACUCAAAGGAUUGACGG
rnacentral:rRNA from 1 species